UACGAAGGGGGCUAGCGUUGCUCGGAAUCACUGGGCGUAAAGGGCGCGUAGGCGGCCGAUUAAGUCGGGGGUGAAAGCCUGUGGCUCAACCACAGAAUUGCCUCGAUACUGGUUGGCUUGAGACCGGAAGAGGACAGCGGAACUGCGAGUGUAGAGGUGAAAAUUCGUAGAUAUUCGCAAGAACACCAGUGGCGAAGGCGGCUGUCUGGUCCGGUUCUGACGCUGAGGCGCGAAAGCGUGGGGAGCAAACAGG
rnacentral:rRNA from 1 species